rnacentral:rRNA from 1 species
CUACGUGCCAGCAGCCGCGGUAAUACGUAGGUGGCAAGCGUUGUCCGGAAUUAUUGGGCGUAAAGCGCGCGCAGGCGGAUUGGUCAGUCUGUCUUAAAAGUUCGGGGCUUAACCCCGUGAUGGGAUGGAAACUACAGAUCUAGAGUAUCGGAGGGGAAAGUGGAAUUCCUAGUGUAGCGGUGAAAUGCGUAGAUAUUAGGAAGAACACCAGUGGCGAAGGCGACUUUCUGGACGAAAACUGACGCUGAGGCGCGAAAGCCAGGGGAGCGAACGGGAUUAGAUACCCCGGUAGUCCUGGCCGUAAACGAUGGGUACUAGGUGUAGGAGGUAUCGACCCCUUCUGUGCCGGAGUUAACGCAAUAAGUACCCCGCCUGGGGAGUACGACCGCAAGGUUGAAACUCAAAGGAAUUGACGGGGGCCCGCACAAGCGGUGGAGUAUGUGGUUUAAUUCGACGCAACGCGAAGAACCUUACCAGGUCUUGACAU